AGUCGCUUCAGUCGUGUCCGACUCUGUGCAACCCCAUAGACGGCAGCCCACCAGGCUCCCCCGUCCCUGGGAUUCUCCAGGCAAGAACACUGGAGUGGGUUGCCAUUUCCUUCUCCAAUGCAUGAAAGUGGAAAGUGAAAGUGAAGUUGCUCAGUCAUGUCAGACCCUCAGCGACCCCAUGGACUGCAGCCUACCAGGCUCCUCCGUCCAUGGGAUUUUCCAGCCAAAAGACUCAGAGAAGAUCACUUACAGCAUUUUAGAACCAACAAUCCACUUGGUCAUUCCUCAAGGCUCCAAAAAAUAGACCUUUGAACAAUGACAGCUGGAAGAUCCUGAGGCAUCAGACACGGCUAAUAGAGGAUUCUCCUCCUGUU
ensembl:lncRNA